GAGAGAUCGAUCACGGAGUUUCAGCAUCGAAACCGAUUGAGUAGAGAUGAGAGAGAGAGAGGUAGGGAUGAAUGUGCGACGCGUGUCCAUAAGAGACGCCUCUUUCGUCGCUUAAUGAAGAAACGUAUCUUCUAUUAAAAGUGUUGCAUGUAGAACGACCGUGAAUCACCUAAAAUGUUGGGAUAUCAAAAGCUCUUCAAAUCUGUUUAUUAUUCAGAGAUGGAUGAAUGAAGAAUGGGAAUGUUAAUAGUCUGGAUCGAAAGAGAUUGAAUCCAAACAUCAUGGACCACUCAUGUGUUUCACGUGAGAUAAUCUAGGGAUGGAUCCGGAAAAUUAAUUAUGAUGUAUAUGAUGAGUGGUGAUAGUUCGCAUACCGCUCAACUACCACAAUCCUGUUUUGGAUCAUUACGUCAGUUAUUCAUUAUUUAUAUUUCAAUUUUUAUCUAGUUGUUUUUGAUGUUAAAAAAAAACAAAUUUAGUUCUUUUUGAAGAAAUUUUAUAAUUGAUUUAUCUAGUUGCCUUAAAUUCUUGAUUGCAUGCUUAUAGUGUCCUACUAUGUUUUUUUAAAUAGUUGGCCUAAUAUGUUUCACACAAAACAAAAUCUGUCUACCCCUAUAGGCAAAUAAGACGUCCUUUUUAUAUAUCCUUCAGAUCAAAUGUUUUAACCAAAUUGAAGUCUCGCGGUUUCAUUGUCAAGUCCAUGUUAUAUACAUAUAUAUAAGCAUCUGAUCUGAUAUGCAUUGAUUAAUGAAACAAUUACACUCCAAGUCACUUUUCAUCUCUAUAAUAUCAUAAAAAGUCACUUGUUGUUACCGGGACAUUUUGUCCAAACCUUCCUUUAUACCAAAAAAAAAAAACAUGAAAUCUCUAUUCUAUCCUUUUUUCUUUUUCUUCCUCUUCCCACCACUGAAUUCUUCGUCUCUCUCUCUCUCUCCUUCCUGAUUUCUUCAAGUUCUCAAACUCUCUCAAGAGCUCAAGAGCAUAAUUUCCUCAAUUCUCAACGAAAUUUUGUGAUUCUUGUUGCUGAGAAUUCGAAAUCCCUAUCUCUUUCUCCUUAUAAUCUCGGUUUUCCUCAAAGCAAGCUAAGGACACAAUGGAGAGAGCCCGUGGAAGAGCGACCAAGGAAGACAAAGGAAAAGGACUUGCAUCUACUUCCCAAAGUUUCAAUCUUUCUUUGAAAUGUUAUUAACUUGUUACAAAGUUUCAAUUUUUUUGCACUGGUCAUUUGUGGCAUGUACAUGUGGAUACGAAACAUAGCAUAUACAUAGUUUUUUUGAUGUACAUGUGGAUAACGUGAAUAUGUGUACAUAUAAGGCACUCUCUUCUACCUGCAAUGACUACUCAUAUUCUCAAAA